UACGUAGGGUGCGAGCGUUGCCCGGAUUUAUUGGGCGUAAAGGGCGCGUAGGCGGCUCGGCACGUCCGUUGUGAAAUCGCCCGGCUCAACUGGGCGGGGUCAGCGGAUACGGUCGAGCUUGAGCAAGCUAGGGGGCAAUGGAAUUCCCGGUGUAGUGGUGGAAUGCGUAGAUAUCGGGAGGAACACCAGUGGCGAAGGCGGUUGCCUGGAGCUUUGCUGACGCUGAGGCGCGAAAGCGUGGGGAGCGAACGGG
rnacentral:rRNA from 1 species